rnacentral:ncRNA from 1 species
GAAAGAUCGGGUAGAUACCCGGUUGGGCGUCCACUGGAUGCCUCAAUUAGG